UACGGGGGGAGCAAGCGUUGUUCGGAUUUACUGGGCGUAAAGGGCGCGUAGGCGGUCGUGACAAGUCACUUGUGAAAUCUCUGAGCUUAACUCAGAACGGCCAAGUGAAACUGUUGUGCUAGAGUGCAGAAGGGGCAAUCGGAAUUCUUGGUGUAGCGGUGAAAUGCGUAGAUAUCGAGAGGAACACCUGCGGCGAAGGCGGGUUGCUGGGCUGACACUGACGCUGAGGCGCGAAAGCUAGGGGAGCGAACGGG
rnacentral:rRNA from 1 species